CGGGCCCAGCCUCUCCGCGGCAUGAGGGAUCUUCCCGGACCGGGACACGAACCUGUGUCCCCUGCAUCGGCAGGCGGACUCUCAACCCCUGCGCCACCAGGGAAGCCCCACCAUUUUGUUUUUUGAAGAAAUUAGAAGACAACAAUUACCACUUCCUGUGCUCCCACCCCAUAAGUACAGGGUAUCUUGAUACUAAAAUAAUAGAAUUAAGGCAUGCAUACUUGAGAAAAGGAGAACCCUUUUCACUGAAUGCAUGUAGCUUUAUGGAAACUUCACUGCAGUAGCCCGGUUUCCUCAGCGGGCAGUGGAGUAGGAAGUUGGGUCACAGAGAUCCAAUCAGGGGAAUUGCAUCUGGAAAAUUCUAAAACGAGGGCCAUGUGGGCAUCCAUGACACUCAAGGGCAAGCAAGCCACCACCCUCACGGGCACACACACCAGACUCACCCCUUCCGAGGGACGGCCACAAGUGCAUACGCGCACGCACACACACACACACACACACACGCUCCUCCCCGGGGCUCCCGGGUUGGAAAACCUGCCCUGGCAUUUAGGUGUGGCCAUGCUUCUCUCCUGAGCCCAGAGCCGAGGGUGGGGCUCACCCAGCCCGUGUCAACCGGUGGAGCCAGGUGGGUGCUGACCCGGGGCCAGAGGUGGGCCACCCGCUCAGGCCCCUGGCCCACUGCCUCUGGCCGGGAGACCAGAGCUCUGUCCACCUACAGGGAGUCCAGGGCCUUGUUGUGCACCCCUGGUUAGGGCUGUGACCUUGAGCCAUUCAGUCUCCCUCUCUGGGCCUCCAGAAGCCGGCUACAGCCCCGUGCACCAGGCCCACGGGCCGAUGGGGGCUGCGCUGCUCAGCGGUAGCCUCAGGGACCCGCUUAGGAGUGUGUCUCGGGAUGGAGUGCCCGUCACUCGCCUCCAGCGGAGGGCCCGCUGGCCAGCUUUCGGGCUGCUGAGGAGGGAGCCCUGCUGGGGUCAGGAGAGGCGGCUGCCGUCCGCACCGGCCCCAGCGGCCUGUCCCAGGCUCCGGCAGCUUGCUCACCCACCUGGAACAAACCUGGCCAGCCGGGAGCCCUGCGGGGAGCCCGACUCGCUUCGUGGGGGGCCAUUGGGGCUAAUGUUUAACGGGCUCCCUCCUUGGCGGGACACUCCAGUCCCUGCAGCCCUGAGCCUGGGCCGGCCCUGACCAUCCUGCUGCGAGGUGGGCCCCAGACAGUGGGCUCGGCCUCCUGCCCCGUGGAUAUAGAGACCUGGGGGGCGGCCGGCCUCCUCAGGCUCUGGGGCAGGCAGGGGCGUAGCAGGUGGCGUUCUGCCCUGCUCGUUCCUUCCAGGAGGCAGGAGCUCCCCCUCCAGCGGCUGCUAUAGGUCCGCGUCCCUGCUGUUGGAGAAAGUCGGCCCCUUUGUCCAUUUGGGUGCAUUUGCAUCUCAUUUGAACGUUUUCUCCUCUCUGGGGACAGGCGAACUCCAAGGUGCGUAUGCAUUGCCCUUGGUCCCCGGCCACAUCCCUUCUGGAAAGUUACAGGCCGGGCUCUGUUGAGGCAAGUCUGAUCCCAGAGAAGGGUGACCGCCAAGGCAGGUUGACGCAGGUCCCCGUCCCCAGCCUGCAGCUGUCACAGCCCUUGACGCGUGGUGCGCGACUUCAACUCUCCCAACCUCCGUCUCCUCAUGUGUCAAUGAAUCUGAGAUAACAGGUACCCUUAGGUUUUGGUGAGAACGUAAUGAUGUGAUUCUGGUAAGGCAUGUUAUUAAGUCAUGACUAAGAGUCCGGGCUCUAACAGACCAGCUGAGUUCGGUCCUGGCCCCUCGUUCACUAACCGCGUGACCAUGGAAAGCUGUUAACCUCUCUGUGCCUCACUGUUCCCAUCUGUGAAAUGGGAGUGGUUGUGGUCCCUCUCUCACGGGGUGUCGUGAAGGUUAGAUGAGCUAAUUCAGGUGCAGAGAGCAGUGCCUAGAGUGGAGUGAGUGCUGCGGCCGCUGGUCUUCAGUGGGGCCCAGCUCCCGGCUCUGCCCUGCUCGUGUCCAGGCUGGGUCCCUGCGUGGUGAGUGGGGACCGGGUGGAAUCGUGGUUCUCUCUCUCCAGAGACCACGCCUCCCGCCCAGGCCCUGCAGUGGCCACAACUAAGCCAGCCCCGCCCACUGCCACCCCAAGGAGCCCUGUGACAGAGCCCCCUGGCCGUCACCACUCAGGGCUCCGUUGCACGGGGGUAGGCUAGGUCUGGCCCUGCCAGGAAGCAGAACGGACUGGACAUCCUCCCGGAGGGCUUUGGGUGGGGCAGGGGCCCUUUCCCAGAGGGCCCUCCUCCCACGGGCUCUCCGCGCCAGGCGUUUGCUCUGAGUCAGGCCUGGCUUUGCAGGGCAGGGUGGGGGCCCCAGCGUGCUGGGCCCCAGGUCAGUAGUUGGGGGGCGGAACGGAGCACUGCCUUUGCAACUCGGGGCCAGGAUCUCCCAGGGCUGAGAGGAAGCAGAGGGGGGAGGCCACGCUACGGACCCAGGCCGGCUGCAGUGACCUGUGCGUCAGGGAAGGGGGCGUGUGUGUGGCUGCCAGGCAUGAGACCCAAGCCAGGCUCUGUGCCUGGCCCAGCCCCGCCGGGCUCUCCCGCUGCGUGUGUGUGUGUGUGUGUGUGUGUGUGUGUGUGUCUGGGUGUGUGUAUGUGUGUCUGGGUGUGUGUGUGUCUGGGUGUGUCUGCGCCUGAGAGUUUCCGCGUUUCUAGGAGCUGUUUUCUUUGAGCACGUCCACCUCUCCGCCCACUGAGCUGUUUGCAGCAAGGACCCAGGCAGACUGCUCUUCCCCCAGCACAUCUCGGGCUGCUGGUCCUUCAGCGGCUGGCGGCUGCGUGGCCGGGAGCCAGACCCCGGCCCAGGGGCCCCUGGUGCUGCACUUUGCUCCCAGCUUCUGGCAUUUAUGGUGGAUAAUGCACUGGGAGCAGAGGGCAGAACAGGGACUCACAGGCAGCUGGAGGGCUCUUCACACAGCCCAGCCUCUCCUGGGGCCAGUGCCGGGCGGCCAAAAAGCCAAGGGCCGGGCCGGGGACCAGCCGCUUCCUCGUAGGCAUAUCUCAGGAGUCACACGACACUGCCCGGAAAAGCCUCUCUGGCCCAGACGUUGGUCUCUGCUCCACGGGAGCUGCUGCCCUCCGUAUGUGUGGAGGGGUGCCCCCAGGCCCCCCAUUCCACCCCAGCAGACUUGCACCCCUCACCGGGCUUUGGCCCAGAUGUCAGCGGGAUGGAGAAAGGACCUGACCUGGAGGACAGACAACUGACUGCCACAGCUUGGGACAGAAUCAGUCCUGGGGGACAUGGUCCGUCAGGAGUGUGAAGGAAAGACAGUCAGGGAGGGUGGAUGCAGGUGGACAGGGCUGGCCCAGGACCCGAUGGGAGAGCCCAGGGCAGGCGUGAACAAGGAGCUGCCUGGUGGCCGGGGUGGAACUGCAGGGCAUCCCCCUGGCUGGGCCAGGACACUGACCUGACUGCUCACCCCGAGGGUCAGGCACACCAGGGCACCCGGGAGAGGGGAGCCGGGGGAACGGCCCCGUGAGAGCAGCAGGGCCAGGGGCUGGGAAUGGAGGGGCCCCCUGACAGCUGCAGGUCAGGCUGGGCUGAGCUGAGCACCCUGGCGGUGAGGCUGUGCUGUGUGGUGUCACCGGACCAGAUGGCAGGGGGACCAGGAGGACCUGAGCAGGUGGCCCUCCAUGCUGCCCCGAGCUGCUGCCUGAAGCCCAGCACAGCCUCCCUCACAGGCUCCCUGCCUUCCCCCUCCCCCAGGUGCUUCCAGCCAGAGCUGCAGAAGUGAGCAGGACACUGGUUUUAAUGGAGAGGCUGUGACGCCCACGGGCGCUUGACAUACAGAGUGGAGGGUGCAUGCCUCCUCGAGGCCUGUUUGCCCCACAGCGGCCGGAGCCCCAGGGAGCCCACCCGCCAGCCAGGCGACGUCUUCAGAUGCUGCCGUUCCUCCCCUCUGUGUCUGUUAAUCCCAGUCCCGCCUGAAGGCGCUCAGGCUGGAGGGGAGACGUGGGAGCAGGGGGCGCGCUCUGCAGUGCAGGGGGGUAUGCUGAGAGGCCAGCGGGCGGGGCUGCAGGAAGGAGCAGGCAGGGCACCCGGAGCACAGUUUGGCCAGCUGCCUGCAGGACAGAGAGGCAGCAGCCCUCAGUUCCCAGUCCUUCUCACCCCGGCACCCAGGCUGGACUGCUGUCCACAGGGGCUCCUACGAGCCUCAGCUCUCCCCACCCUCCUCCCCACGGGGCUCCUCGCACCUGUCCGCCUGGGCAUCCUCCCACGCGUGGCUAAUCCCCACCUCUGAGCUCUGGUUGCACCAUCAGCCCCUGACACGCCCUCCUGCGUCCGCAACCCCAUCACAUCCUCGGAGAGCCUGCCCCUCCAGGAGGCUUCUCAGACGGACAGGGCUGUCGGACAGACCCUGCCCUGUUGCAUGUGCCCUCCGCACGCCCACAGAGGGCUCCACGUGUCCUAACGUUCUGCUUUCUCCAGCGGCUUCCUCGGAGAGUGGGUGGCCUUGUCUCCUCUGAAUGGAAGCCCCCCGACCAGUGCUGGGCACUUUGCAGGAUUCCCCAGGAGGCAGUUAAAAGCGCUUUAGACUUUUGGAAAGUCAGAGCUGGAAGGCCCUGGGGGUCAUGGAAUCCAGGGGUUCUAAGCUCUGGCAUCAGAGUCACCCAGGGGCUGAUCCCACCCCAGAGGCUCAGAUCCAGCAGGCCUGGGAGGGGCCACAUCAUCUGCGCCCCAGGUGAUACACCUGGGGGAUCACGGAACUGACGCAACCCCCAUGCUGCAGGUGAGGGAGUGAAGGGCCCCGAAGCAGGAAGGAUGUGCCUACGGUCUCGGGGGACCAGGACUGAGCCACCUCAGGGCUCCCCUUCCCCGCCCACCCUGCCCAGCCCGCCAGCCGCCCGUCCUGGCGUCCCUGCUGCCCUGUCAGCUGGGGCCUGGGAGCGGGGAGCUGGCUCCGCCUACCUCUACUGGGAGGUCGGGGACUUAGCAGCGUCGAACAUCUUCUUGCGGCCCUCCAUACCGGACAUGGCCUCCACGUUCUUCCUCCAGUCGCCCACCUCCACGGGCCGCUCCUGUGGGCGGCCACACAGGGGACACCUAGCACCAGGCCCUCCCCGCGCAGGAGCGGCUGGGUGAUGGGAAGUCAGCCUCCCCUAAGAGGUGGGACAUCCCAGCCCUCCUCCCAGAACAGGGGUCCUGGAACGUGCCGCCAGCUGGCGGGGCUCAUGUGGGGGGUGCAGGGCUGGCCGAGGCCGCGUCGGGUGAGGUCGGGGCUCACCUUCUCCGUGUCCUCCUUUUUCACAGACUUGAGGUUGGCGCGCAGGUCCAUGGACACCUUGUGCUUGGAGCCCAGCAGGGCGCGCAGCAUGGCGUCAGCCGAGACGCGGACGCGCCGCAGGGGGGGGCGCUUGAACUUCCCGCGCAGGUCCAGCACCUUGAGCUUCAGGUCCUUGAUCUGCGGGGAGGGGGCAGCUCAGGGCUCCGGGCCCCAGCCAGGCCCCACUUCUCCAGGCUCCAGGCCAGGCCCUCGGGGACGCCCAGACCCACUAUCUGUCACCUUGCAAACAGCCACCUCUGUUCUAUCCUAUUCAAUUGGUACAGGGGUGAGUGGGACUCCGAGAGGGAACUCGGUUAGCCGUGGCGGCCAUGGCGGCCAUGCAGGGAAGAGACAGACGUGUCAUUCGGAAGCCCUGUUUGCAGUGGGACGGGCCACUUCCUCUUAUUCCCGCUUCUAACCAGUCCCUUCCCAGUGAGCCUUCAGAGCAGGUCAUUGAGGGCACAGCCCUGGUCCAGCAGGAUGAAUAAACCCCAUGUCCGAGCCCCCUGGGGGAUUUCCAGGGUGCAACCUCAGGAGGAAAUUCUGGGGGGAUCCCUGAACCCACAGACCGUCAUUCCUGCUGGGGAGGAGUGGGAAGGAGGGAAGUGGCUCUAGUCCCUCCCCACUCCUCUGCUGGAACAGGCGCCCACUCCAGCAGCAGGAGCCCUGCCCCUCCGCAUCCUGCCCACCGCACCAGAGCUGGGUCUGGGUGGAGCUGAUGCCCCGCGCCCCAUGCCGGGGGAGUGCUGAGUGACUGGAGUGAGGGUCCGAGGCCAGGCCCAUCCCAGGUCCACUUGCUGUGUGACCUGGGCCGAGUUUCUCAGCCUCUCUGAACCUGUGUGCUCAUCUGUCAGGUGCAGAUAAAAGCACCCACUUCGUCCACAGGCGUGCAGGGAGGAUUAAAGGGACAAGGCACAUGAAAGCCGUUUGCAAGAUUCAGAGACUCAGCUCCCUGACCGAGGGGCUGAAUCCUGCAAGACACUGCGUGGGUCACAGGGUCUGGGCACCCCCUUCCUCAUCUGUGAGUCAGGAUGCUGAGACCCACCUUACCCAGUCCACAGAGGGACUACAGACAGAAUGAGAUGGUGGGUGAGCACCGGCUUCGAACAGCGGGCAUGAGGCACGCGGCCUGGCGCGCUGGGGCAAUGUUGUGUCACCAGAGAAGUAAGCCCUGAGUUCCCUCAGUAAAGACGCUCCAUCUCUUUAGACGUCCAAACUCUUCUUGAUGUCAACACAAUCCAUGUAAAUUGCUCUCAGUUAUGCAGACAAUAUUUUCUCUUCUUAUUAAACAUGCUUGACAUCUC